rnacentral:misc_RNA from 1 species
UACGUAGGGCGCAAGCGUUGUCCGGAAUUAUUGGGCGUAAAGAGCUCGUAGGCGGUUUGUCGCGUCUGCUGUGAAAACGCGAGGCUCAACCUCGCGCCUGCAGUGGGUACGGGCAGACUAGAGUGCGGUAGGGGAGACUGGAAUUCCUGGUGUAGCGGUGGAAUGCGCAGAUAUCAGGAGGAACACCGGUGGCGAAGGCGGGUCUCUGGGCCGUAACUGACGCUGAGGAGCGAAAGCAUGGGGAGCGAACAGG